rnacentral:tRNA from 2 species
GCUCCCAUCGUCUAGCGGUCAGGACGCCGCCCUCUCAAGGCGGAAACCGGGGUUCAAUUCCCCGUGGGAGCG